rnacentral:rRNA from 1 species
GACGAACGCUGGCGGCGUGCUUAACACAUGCAAGUCGAACGGAAAGGCCCUGCUUUUGUGGGGUGCUCGAGUGGCGAACGGGUGAGUAACACGUGAGUAACCUGCCCUUGACUUUGGGAUAACUUCAGGAAACUGGGGCUAAUACCGGAUAGGAGCUCCUGCUGCAUGGUGGGGGUUGGAAAGUUUCGGCGGUUGGGGAUGGACUCGCGGCUUAUCAGCUUGUUGGUGGGGUAGUGGCUUACCAAGGCUUUGACGGGUAGACGGCCUGAGAGGGUGACCGGCCACAUUGGGACUGAGAUACGGCCCAGACUCCUACGGGAGGCAGCAGUGGGGAAUAUUGCACAAUGGGCGGAAGCCUGAUGCAGCAACGCCGCGUGCGGGAUGACAGCCUUCGGGUUGUAAACCGCUUUCGCCUGUGACGAAGCGUGAGUGACGGUAAUGGGUAAAGAAGCACCGGCUAACUACGUG